rnacentral:RNase_P_RNA from 1 species
CAAGCAGCACGUUCUAUCGCCUUUACUGUAAGGUAAGGGAGGAAAGUCCGGGCAGCAUAGGGUACCGGGCUUCCGAAAGGGAAGCUAUUCGUGAGGGUAGAGUAAGGCAGAAGAAAAUAACCGUCCCGGCCUGGUGUUGGGAUAAGGGUGAGAAGGUGGUGUAAGAGACCACCAGUGCUCCAGGCAACUGGGGCAGCUGUGCCGCUCCCGGGCUGAAAGGCCAUGUAUAUCCCGACUCCGGAAACGGAACGGUGUUACCCGCACUGUCUUGUCGGGAGGGGUAGGCCGAUAGUGGUUCCGGGUGACCGGAAUCCCAGAUAAAUGAUAGAAGUCCGCCUUGGCGGAAACAGAAUCCGGCUUAUAGGGCUGCUUGUUUU